UGUGCUAAGGUAGCAUAAUAAAUUGUCUUAUAAUUAAAGACUAGAAUAAAUGGGUUGACAAUCUUUUUACUUUUUUAAUUUGAAUCUUGAAAUUUAUUUUUAAGUCAAAAAGCUUAAUUUUUUUAGGUAGACGAUAAGACCCUGUAAAACUUUAUUUUUAAUAAAUAGUAAGAAAAAAAAAGAAAAAGAAUUUAGCUGGGGCGGCAAUUAAUAACACAUUAAUAAAGAUAACUUUUCAGAUUUGAAAGAGCUUAUACACAAAUAGAAUAAGUUACUUCAGGGAUAACAGCACAAUAUUUACAUUGAGACCAGAUCAGUGUAAAUGACAUGUGACCUCGAUGUUGAAUUGAGUGUUCUAAGCUAAGCAG
rnacentral:rRNA from 1 species